rnacentral:rRNA from 1 species
AGAGUUUGAUCCUGGCUCAGGAUGAACGCUAGCGGCAGGCCUAACACAUGCAAGUCGAGGGGCAGCAGACCACUUCGGUGGUGCUGGCGACCGGCGCACGGGUGAGUAUCGCGUUUGCAACCUACCCUUAACUGGGGGAUAGCCCGAAGAAAUUCGGAUUAAUACCCCAUAAUAUUUAAAAACGGCAUCGUUUUUUCAUUAAAGCUCCGGCGGUUAAGGAUGGGCAUGCGUGACAUUAGUUUGUUGGUGAGGUAACGGCUCACCAAGACUACGAUGUCUAGGGGGUCUGAGAGGAUGAUCCCCCACACUGGUACUGAGACACGGACCAGACUCCUACGGGAGGCAGCAGUGAGGAAUAUUGGGCAAUGGACGCAAGUCUGACCCAGCCAUGCCGCGUGCAGGAUGACGGCGCUAUGCGUUGUAAACUGCUUUUAUACAGGAAGAAACCCUCCUACGUGUAGGAGGUUGACGGUACUGUAAGAAUAAGCAUCGGCUAACUCCGUGCCAGCAGCCGCGGUAAUACGGAGGAUGCAAGCGUUAUCCGGAUUCAUUGGGUUUAAAGGGUGCGCAGGCGGGGCAAUAAGUCAGUGGUGAAAUCCUGCGGCUUAACCGUAGAACUGCCAUUGAUACUGUUGCCCUUGAGUAUAGUUGAGGUGGGCGGAAUAUGUAAUGUAGCGGUG